GGACAUGCACCUGUGCGGGACGGGC
rnacentral:piRNA from 1 species